rnacentral:tRNA from 1 species
GUCCGCCUGUGGCCUAGUGGGCAAGGUCACAGUCUUGAGAACACGGGCUCGUAGGUUCAAGCCCAGCUACGGACA